AAGCUGGAUUCGCUAGUAAUCGCGCAUCAGCCAUGGCGCGGUGAAUACGUUCCCGGGCCUUGUACACACCGCCCGUCAAGCCAUGGGAGCCGGGGGUGCUUGAAGUGCGUCGCCGCAAGGCGCGCCCUAGAGCAAAACCGGUGACUGGGGCUAAGUCGUAACAAGGUAUC
rnacentral:rRNA from 1 species